UGUGUUGUUUCCCAACUGUGAUGUUUCUUUCGUAUUACGAGUAAAGCGUAAUCGCGUGGACACGACGAAUUUUUCUCCCAUCGCGAAUUCACCGGGGAAAAGAGAAAAUCGCGCGCCUGUGGAUCUAGAUAAUUAAUUCCUCCCUCCGGUAUAACUGAAAUUUUCUUGCGGAAGAGACAACAGUUUAUUAAUUGAUCCUUCCAAAGGAAGGGAACAAUGAGAGAAAGGGAGAAAGAGAGAGAGAGAGAGAGACAGAAAGAAGAUAGCUGCAGACAGAUAACCACUUCACAACUCGAAUGCGACCGGGGGGCAAGAGGGGGGGAUGUGCUCGACGGUAGGAAGAGUAGGGGAGUAGGGGAAAAAAGGAAGAAUAAACGUCGUAAGCCUUUCGAUAGCCAUUCGCGAGAAGAAGAGAAUGAAUUACAAGGUUCUAAAGGAAACAAUGCUUGUAUACAAUUUAUGAUGGUUGAUCGACGAUGUUGUUACUCGAGCAACGAAUUCAUCGACAUUGAGAUAUCUCUGAAUAAUCACAAAGGAAUGUAUUUACGAAUGACUUGAAUUCUUUACAGAUUGAGAGAUAAAGGAAGGCUGGCUGUGCGGAAGCAAUCGUCAUCGUGGUUUGAUAAUUAUUAGAUUGUG